UGCCAGCCGCCGCGGUAAUACGAAGGGUGCAAACGUUGCUCGGAAUCAUUGGGCGUAAAGCGCACGUAGGCGGCUUGACAAGUUGGGUGUGAAAGCCCGGGGCUCAACCCCGGAAGUGCACCCAAAACUGUUAGGCUUGAGUCCCGGAGGGGCCCAGAGAAUUCCCGGUGUAGAGGUGAAAUUCGUAGAUAUCGGGAGGAAUACCGGUGGCGAAGGCGACCACCUGGCCAGAUACUGACGCUGAGGUGCGAAAGUGUGGGGAGCAAACAGGAUUAGAUA
rnacentral:rRNA from 1 species